AGGAGAGAGAGCAAGGAAGGUCCGUUGGUAGAGGAGAGUUGUUUAUCAUGACUCAUAAGAAAAAAGAUGGCUCGUAUAUCCAUCCCGAUGCGCGUGUUGUUAGUGAAGCAAUUGCGAAUGUUGAGAGGCAGGAUGGAUCCUCUAAGCACCUUUAACAAAAUGACUCGCUAGCACAAGUUCUCGGAAAGGAGCACCCAGGACGAGUUCGUGCCCUAGGUGCUGGACCAUGUCCCACCCAAGUCUUUGGUAACGCUGCUGGACAACCGUCGGGUUCUGCAGAGUCCAAUGCAGAGGAUAAGA